CCUACGGGUGGCAGCAGUGGGGAAUAUUGCACAAUGGGCGAAAGCCUGAUGCAGCAACGCCGCGUGAAGGAAGACGGUUUUCGGAUUGUAAACUUCUGUUCUUCGUGAAGCAUAAUGACGGUAACUAAGGAGCAAGCCACGGCUAACUACGUGCCAGCAGCCGCGGUAAUACGUAGGUGGCAAGCGUUGUCCGGAAUUACUGGGGGUAAAGGGAGCGUAGGCGGGAAGACAAGUCAGCUGUGAAAACUACGGGCUUAACCUGUAGACUGCAGUUGAAACUGGCUUUCGUGAGUGAAGUAGAGGUUGGCGGAAUUCCGAGUGUAGCGGUGAAAUGCGUAGAUAUUCGGAGGAACACCGGUGGCGAAGGCGGCCAACGGGGGUUUAACUGACGCUGAGGCUCGAAAGUGUGGGGAGCAAACAGGAUUAGAUACCCUUGUAGUC
rnacentral:rRNA from 1 species